CCUACGGGCGGCAGCAGUGAGGAAUAUUGGUCAAUGGCCGGAAGGCUGAACCAGCCAAGCCGCGUGAAGGACGAAGGUGCCAAGCAUUGUAAACUUCUUUUGUCAAGGGACAAAAUCAGGCUCGAGAGCCUGACCGAGGGUACUUGAAGAAAAAGAAUCGGCUAAGCCCGUGCCAGCAGACGCGGUAAUACGGAGGAUGCGAGCGAUAUCCGGAUUUAUUGGGUUAAAAGGGUGCGUAGGCGGACUGUUAAGUCAGCGGUAAAAGCCCGGGGCUAAACCCCGGUGUGCAGUUGAAACUGGCUGUCUUGAGAUGUCGAGAGGAAUGCGGAAUGCGCGGUGUAGCGGUGAAAUGCUUAGAUAUUGCGCAGAACUCCGAUGGCGAAGGCAGCAUACCGGCGGCGAUCUGACGCUGAGGCACGAAAGCGUGGGUAUCGAACAGGAUUAGAUACCCCGGUAGUC
rnacentral:rRNA from 1 species